rnacentral:rRNA from 1 species
GUGGGGAAUUUUGGACAAUGGGGGCAACCCUGAUCCAGCAAUGCCGCGUGCAGGAAGAAGGCCUUCGGGUUGUAAACUGCGUUUGUACGGAACGAAACGGUCCUGGUUAAUACCUGGGGCUAAUGACGGUACCGUAAGAAUAAGCACCGGCUAACUACGUGCCAGCAGCCGCGGUAAUACGUAGGGUGCAAGCGUUAUUCGGAAUUACUGGGCGUAAAGCGUGCGCAGGCGGUUUUGUAAGACAGGCGUGAAAUCCCCGGGCUCAACCUGGGAAUGGCGCUUGUGACUGCAAAGCUGGAGUGCGGCAGAGGGGGAUGGAAUUCCGCGUGUAGCAGUGAAAUGCGUAGAUAUGCGGAGGAACACCGAUGGCGAAGGCAAUCCCCUGGGCCUGCACUGACGCUCAUGCACGAAAGCGUGGGGAGCAAACAGGAUUAGAAACCCGGGUAGUCC